rnacentral:rRNA from 1 species
AAACCGGAGCUAAUACCGGAUAUGACACGAAGAGGCAUCUCUAUCGUGUGGAAAGUUUUUCGGUCUGGGAUGGACUCGCGGCCUAUCAGCUUGUUGGUGAGGUAAUGGCUCACCAAGGCGACGACGGGUAGCCGGCCUGAGAGGGCGACCGGCCACACUGGGACUGAGACACGGCCCAGACUCCUACGGGAGGCAGCAGUGGGGAAUAUUGCACAAUGGGCGCAAGCCUGAUGCAGCGACGCCGCGUGAGGGAUGAAGGCCUUCGGGUUGUAAACCUCUUUCAGCAGGGAAGAAGCGAAAGUGACGGUACCUGCAGAAGAAGCACCGGCUAACUACGUGCCAGCAGCCGCGGUAAUACGUAGGGUGCGAGCGUUGUCCGGAAUUAUUGGGCGUAAAGAGCUUGUAGGCGGUUUGUCGCGUCUGCUGUGAAAUUUCGGGGCUCAACCCCGAACUUGCAGUGGGUACGGGCAGACUAGAGUGUGGUAGGGGAGACUGGAAUUCCUGGUGUAGCAGUGAAAUGCGCAGAUAUCAGGAGGAACACCGAUGGCGAAGGCAGGUCUCUGGGCCACUACUGACGCUGAGAAGCGAAAGCAUGGGGAGCGAACAGGAUUAGAUACCCUGGUAGUCCAUGCCGUAAACGUUGGGAACUAGGUGUGGGUCUCAUUCCACGAGAUCCGUGCCGCAGCUAACGCAUUAAGUUCCCCGCCUGGGGAGUACGGCCGCAAGGCUAAAACUCAAAGGAAUUGACGGAAUCGAAUU